rnacentral:tRNA from 1 species
GAAGACGACAUAAUUGAAGAUUGGGGCUGUAGCUCAGUUGGUAGAGCGCUUCGUUCGCAUCGAAGAGGUCGUGGUU